rnacentral:rRNA from 1 species
GACGAACGCUGGCGGCGUGCCUAAUACAUGCCAGUAGAACGCUGAAGGAGGAGCUUGCUUCUCUGGAUGAGUUGCGAACGGGUGAGUAACGCGUAGGUAACCUGCCUGGUAGCGGGGGAUAACUAUUGGAAACGAUAGCUAAUACCGCAUAAGAGUAGAUGUUGAAUGACAUUUGCUUAAAAGGUGCAAUUGCAUCACUACCUGAUGGACCUGCGUUGUAUUAGCUAGUUGGGGGGGUAACGGCUCACCAAGGCGACGAUACAUAGACGACCUGACAGGGUUAUCGGCCACACUGAGGCUGAGACACAGCCCGGACCCCUACGGGAGGCAUCAGUAGGGAAUCUUCGGCAAUGGACGGAAGUCUGACCGAGCAACGCCGCGUGAGUGAAGAAAGUUUUCGGAUCGUAAAGCGCUGUUAUAAGAGAAGAACGGAUGUGGGAGUGGAAAGUUCACACUGGGACGGUGUCUUACCAGAAAGGGACGGCUAACGACGUG